GGAGGGAGGUAAUUAGGUUUAUUUAUUUAUUUGUUUUUUAAUUUUUUUUUUUAAUGAAGGUACUGGGGGUUGAAUUCAGGAGGACCUCGUGUGUGCUUAGCACACACUCUACCACUGAGCUCUACCCUCCCCACCGUGUGUAUUCUGGAACUGUGUGUCCCUUCUCCCCGAACAGCAGCCAGCAUGCCAGUCUGCAGCCACAUUGCUAACCCUGGUUUGCGUCGUGUCUGCUCCUUUGUGGCUGCUGAGGGGAUUAGUUUUUAUCGGAUGGUUCUCCCAUUUUGAAGCUAAUCUUUUGGACUGACUAAGGAUCCCCCUUUCCUCACCCUCACUCCCAUCAGAUGGUCUAAAGCAAUGAACCAGCGCUUCACCGAGCAUUCCCAAAGGCAGCUCUGAAGGAGGGAAGGCAGAAUGCUGCCAGGACAAGAAGUCUGCUUCUCUACUCCACACGCCUCCUGAAUCCACAUCCUCUUCCAAUUGGGCUGAAGGCAUUUGCUGCUUUUCUUGAAGCCCAGUGGUUCCAACAAACUCCUGGAUAAGAAUAUGAAGGAGGAACCGACUUUUGGAGUAGGAUGGAGACUAAAUUUAGAUUGAGAAUCUAUACUGGGGAAUAAACGCAUCAGUGCACUGUAGCAUGCUGAGAUACUAGUCCCUAUUAACCAUCAAAAGUGUUUUUCACAGGCAAAGGCGGACGCUGGAUCCGAACAUCAGGGCCUGAAGAGGGAGCCCGUUCUGAUGGUCGGAGGAGUUUUUGCUGUAGCCAGUACACGCUUCCCUUUGGCAAGCAGUUAGCAUCACCGGGUGACUGAGCGUCUGUAGGAUCCGUGGGGCCAGCUCUUCUCAAAGUCCCAGGGAGACAAGUCAGCGGGCCCGAAGGAGCUGGGGAAGGCACUCUAACCCUAGGCAACGCACAGAAAGCUGGGGGACCAUCAGACGGCUCGGGCUUUGAACGGAGUAUCACCCACUGGACUAAACGCAAAGGGCGCCGACCUUGAGGGCUCUGCCACGCUCAUUUCCUGACGCUAAGAAGUUACAAAAUUAAAAAAAAAAAAAACAACACGAAAAUAGACUGGGGACUAACGGGCCUCUGAACAGCUUUAAAAAUAGGAAAACCUGAGUAUAAAUCAGGAGACGGUUGCUCACGAGGGGCGGGUGCCCUCGGCACCUUUCUGAUCCUUGUCUCACGGUUAAUAAUAUAUUAAUUGAUCCAUGUGUUUGUGUUCCGUUUAUCGUGUAUGUUCUGUGCCAGGCAGGAUGCUGGGCCCUGGAGAUAAAAGGUGACCAAGACAAUGACCCUGCCUUGGGAAGCUGAGAGCCCAUGAGGAGUAACAGACGUGAAGAAGGAGUACGAUCAGUGCUAGAAAAAGGUAUGUACACAUUACAGCAGCAACCUAACACCCUUCCAUUUUUUUCUAUGUGUCUUUUAAUGGCAAUUCCUCUAGCCAAGAUGUUGGACCAGCUGACUGAACCAUUAAAAGGAUAACGUGAGGGAGACACACCAUAAACUGCAGACUCAAAUACUACUGUUUUUAGUGUUGAAGAAACCACCGCUUCAAGCAUGACAGCAGGUGCCCUAGUCCGGAGCCUCAGGACAGAGUAUCUACUCCUGCCAACGGAAACAGCACAGUACGGAGGAAGGGGCCCCGGAGAAUGAGGCUGGAGGGCUGGCUUCUAGCCGGUGCCGCUACAGACAGACCGCAGCGGGGCUGCAGGUUACAUUCCGGACCACCUCAGCAGAGCGAUUAUCUCCAUCAAAAGUGCAGAUUAUUGCCUGUGAACUGAAGGAGGGAAGAGAUAUCCUUAAACCCAACCUGGUAAAGUUCUCCAUCGGACUCAGCUGUGGGAGGAUGUUGAAAUGCAGGAGACAGAGGAGGCCGGACCAACCAAAAUCGUCUAGCUCUCUAUGCGGGAUGACAUCCAAGUUACAGAACUUGGCACCCCAACCAACUCAACUUUCGACUUCCAGUCACUUCACAAGCAUCCAAAAGCUGAGAUCUGUUCCUGGAAUAGAAACCUUCUCUGUUUUUCCUAAAAUGUUCUUGCAAACAGUUUCAAGGUUGUGCAGUGUUUUGCUAAUAUUUUAGGGAACAAUGGAAAAACUUGCACACCAGAGGGAGAAAUAAUGCAACCAGGAGAGCAGGGUUGCCUGGGGUAACCUGUCCUGAGUCAGGCAGGCACGCUAUCAGAUUCCUCCGCGGGGAGGCGGCCUGGCAGAUACUUCUGAUACCCCCUCCCCUCCCAGUUUCAUGAAGGGUAGACCAGCAGAAAGGGCUGGGUCGGGGUGACGGACGGGGCGGCUGAGGACGCAAGGCCACGGCUUGGUGUCAGAGGAGUCAGACGAUGGGCUGUUUGUCUGUGUCGCCCUUGAGACCAUCUAUUCAGGUGUUGGAUCAAUGGACCAAGUCACAGGUUUAAAAUGUGUGUAGGGCUUGAUCUUAGGGACCAAUACUGGGGCUCAUCUAGCUAAGUGGUUCUUGUGAAAAUGAUCAGAAGGAUGGCGGUCCCUGUGUUCCUGUCGUCAGCAUAACACAGCCCUCCUUGUUGCCCUGUGUCCUCGUCCUCAGCCGUUUAUGAAGGCAACCGCACACACCCCGGCAUUCUCGUACCAGACUUCUGUGUAUCCUAUAAAUGGAGGAUUUCCACAGGGCUUAGGGCACGUGUAGCCACCACAGCAAACAAGGAACUGAAUUGAAAAGACCCCUAUUUCUUUUUACCCUCUUCUCAGCUCCAUCUUUAGAACCCAAAGCUCACAGUGUGCAAUGUCGGGUUGUUAAUAAAGAUAUUAUUUUUUGUUA